GAUGAACGCUAGCGGCAGGCCUAACACAUGCAAGUCGAGGGGCAGCACAGGUAGCAAUACCGGGUGGCGACCGGCGCACGGGUGCGUAACGCGUAUGCAACCUACCUUUGAUCAGGACAUAGCCCGAAGAAAUUCGGAUUAAUAUCCUAUAAUAUUCAGAUAAGGCAUCUUGUUUGAAUUAAAGCUUUUGCGAUCAUAGAUGGGCAUGCGUGACAUUAGUUAGUUGGUGAGGUAACGGCUCACCAAGACUAUGAUGUCUAGGGGUUCUGAGAGGAUUAUCCCCCCA
rnacentral:rRNA from 1 species